UUCUGCGGUUCCUACCUUGGCAGGCGGGUUCUCUACCACUAGCACCACCUGGAAAGCCCACUUGCUGUAGGUACUGACAAAGGGAGCAGGGCCAAGACCUCUGGCCCAACAAAGUUGAGCAAGACUUGACAGCCCUCCCACAGAGGUACACUCAUUUCCUUUCCUCAGUGGAGCGUCCGUUGUGCCAACGUGAUCCCUCCCCGCCCCCACCCGUUGGUUUGAAGGGUGUCUUAUCUAUGUGGCAGAAACGCACAUUUUGGAGUUUACCACUAGAAAUACUAUUUAAACCGCAGAGGAGUAAGUUUAAGUGGAGAUCAGAAGACCCUGGAGUUCUCUGAAACUGAAGUGCAGGAAAAGAUGCUGGCUGCUGUGGACUGAAGCAGGAGGCCUGAACCAAUAAUAAGCCUGUGAUGAAAAACUUUGAGCAGAGAAGAUGCUGAGCACCCUGUCACUGGAGCUGGAGCUGACUGAUACACUGAGAUCUGGAGCAGAAGAAAAUCUGGAACUUCUGUAGGGAUAAUUUGUGUUCUAGGAUAGUAAGAAAGAGAACAAGUGUAACAGAAACAAUAUUCAAAGAGGAACUAGAAGAAAACAUCCCCAAAGUGAAGAGAGAUAGUCAAAUGGGGUUAUCAAGUGAAUUUAAUGGGGAUACAAAAAACUAAUAGUGAGACAGAUGCUCUGAUGAAGCCACUAUAUUUCACAGAUAAGGAAUAACUCUGAUGAAAAUUCAGGCAGAAAAAACAGGUUGUCCUCAAAGGAAAUAAAAAUCAAAUGGCUCUAGCUUUUCAACUCUGGCAUUAGAUUCUAGAAUAAAAUGAAACAAUGAAGACAAUCAAAGGAAAAAGAAUGAGAUCCAAAAUUUCAUGCCCAAAGUUGAUAUGUGACUCCAACAGGCAAGGAUUCACUAAGUAUUUCAUAUAUUCUUCUUGUGGGAAAGGGAGUGGCAAGGAGAUACCUGAAGAUGUGCUUCAGUCAACUAAGACAUGAAUAAAAACAACUCAUGAGGAAAGUACCUAACAUUGUGGAAAGGAAAGUUGUAUGGUGGGUUCCCAGGUGGUGCUAGUGAUAAAGAAUCCACCUGUCAAUGCAGGAGAUGCCAGAGAUGUGG